GAACGCGUAUGGAACCUGCCCCUGUCAGGGGAAUAGCCCAGGGAAACUUGGAUUAAUGCCCCAUGGUACCGCGAUAUCGCAUGAUAUUGCGGUUAAAGAUUUAUCGGACAGGGACGGCCAUGCGUACCAUUAGUUAGUUGGUGGGGUAACGGCCCACCAAGGCAGCGAUGGUUAGGGGCCCUGAGAGGGGGAUCCCCCACACUGGUACUGAGACACGGACCAGACUCCUACGGGAGGCAGCAGUGAGGAAUAUUGGACAAUGGGCGGGAGCCUGAUCCAGCCAUGCCGCGUGCAGGAUGACGGCCCUAUGGGUUGUAAACUGCUUUUAUACGGGAAGAAACGCACCUACGUGUAGGUGUCUGACGGUACCGUAAGAAUAAGGACCGGCUAACUCCGUGCCAGCAGCCGCGGUAAUACGGAGGGUCCGAGCGUUAUCCGGAAUCAUUGGGUUUAAAGGGUCCGUAGGCGGGCCUGUAAGUCAGGGGUGA
rnacentral:rRNA from 1 species